AAUAAAAUCAACGCUAAGGGAUUCAAAAUUUAAAUGAAAAUAAGCAAAUAAAGUUAAUCAAUUUCAAUCAAAGCCACAUACAAAAAUAUUCAAAGUAAUACAAGGUUAGUAAGUAAGAUGAAUGAUAACAUAAAGAAGGUAAGGGGCUAGAUAUUAUAAGUUCAUAUUGAAGCAAGUAACUCCUAGCGACGCAGACCCCCAAGCUCUUGUCCUAUGGCCGUUAACUCAAUCUUCGGGUCAAAAUGGAGUUUCAAUCAAAACUCCAACUCCUGAGUUCACAUGAAAAAUAAAGGAUAAGGAUUAGAAAAGAUUAAAUAAUUUAAUAAGGUACGAAUGGAAAUCAGAGAAUUAUUAAACAAGAGUUACUAGGAUCAGACCACGCUAUUUGUUUUUUCUUAUGAACUCGGCCACUUGACUAAACGGAGAACACAGAAUCAUGACAUACACUUCAAUCAUGUGAAUGUUUAUACCCCAUAUAAUUUAGCUAAACCCAAUCUCAAAUGGAAAACACCCCCUGAUGUUAAUAUGCAUGCAAUAGCCCAACCUUUCGGGACUCUCAGAGAAGUAUAUUAUGUACAAAACUCCAUCAUAAUAAUUAAUACACCAAAGUAGGUCAAAAAGAAUAAAAUGAGAUGUGAUAUAUAAAUAAAAUGACUACUAGCAGUCAGAUUACAUGUUCCUCAUGCUUACCAAUUUACGGGCACAUGAUGUAUCUGCUAGUUCAAUAAUGUUUUCCAUACAUGUAAGAAAUGAUUGUUUUAAAAAAGGAAAAGCCGAAAAGCUACAUACACAAAAAACUCCCUAUCUUUAGCAAAGAAAUUGACUAUGUAGAUGCCAUAAUUUGGCAUAAGCAAAAUUCGAUUUGGAUGUUGUGAAUACAAAUCCAUUCACCAUUUUAGAACCAUAUAAAAUAUGCAAUCGGUUGUAAAGAAAGGGGUUGGGAAAACCAUGACAUUAGAAUUCUAGUUACCAAAUUCACGGGUAGAUUACCACAUCAGUAAGAACCCAUUAUUGAAACCGAACUAAGGCAAACAACAUUUCUUAAAGUUGCCAGCAAAAUGGAUCAAAGGACAAAGGGGGAAGUAAGGGUUCACAUAUUCAAACUCUAGAUUUAUUUCAUUUGAGACUCAACUUAAAAUUAUUCACAAGUGCUAGUCAAUCUAAAUUCACCUAAGCACUCUUAAAACUCAAAAUUUUAAACCCAAUAGUUGGAAAAGAUUCUUAACGUUGAAUCGCCAGAGAUGAUGUUCGGUGGGACACAUGAUAUCUUACAUGGAUUACCCAAAUACAAACAACAAAAGAGGAUAAAAACUAAUAGUGAUCUAGAACUCUAUAAUGGAAGGAAGAAAAGAUCAACCAGUGGUCAUUGAAGUAAUGAGUAUAAUCAUUUUCAUAACUAUGAAAUCAUUCGUAAGUGCAAACAAAGCAUAACAGAUAAAGGACCGGAUUAAUAUUUAUUUUUAGGUUUGAAAUUAGGAUACAAUAACCAAAGGCAGCACUUGAAAUAAACUAAUUGAACUACACUUGUCUUUAAAAAUCCGAUUCAAGAGGAGAUUUUUUGAAGUACUGAAACAAAAUAACCACGACAUUGACACAUUAUUAUGAAAACAUAUAGUCACAAAUCAGAUAAUUUUAUGGAAUAAAAAAUUUAGACUCAAUUACCAAAAUUCAAGAAAACACCAUGGCUAAAAAACUUGAAAAAAUUCGCGUAAAGAUUUAUUUUCUAGAAUCAAUGGCAACAAAUUAAAUUUUGGUCUAAAUUAAACCAACACAACAUGUCCACGGAACCAAAGCAGUAUGAAAAAAGGAAGAUGAAAGUGAGAUGAAAGGGCGAAUUCUUACCUUGUGUUGGGUAAAAAACGAGGAGUUUUUCGUCAAUUAUUCUGAAAACGAACUUGAUCUUCGAACUCGACUUCAAUAGGACUCAUAAAUAAUGAAAAAGUGAGAGUGUGAUGAAUAGAAGCUGAUAAAGCGUUUUAUAUUUUUAUGAACCACUUUCCCCUUUUUUCUCAUCAAAAAACUUGUCCUUAAAUGGGUAAAAACGUAAGUAUUUUAUGCGAAUCCAAACUUAAAAUUGCGGAUUUGAAACCAAAAAAAAAAAUCAAAGAAACCAACGGCCAAAUCAAAAGGGAUGUAUUUGACAUUCAAAAGUUGAAAAGGCUUCACGAGUUUGGACGAUUUUGUGCAUUUAAUCCAAAUUUGAAAUAAAGUUUCCGUUGAAGCACUGAUUUGGGUCUGAUUUUCUGAUCAUGAAGGGAUUCACGAGUUGGUAUGGCUAAAAGGGGAGAGGAAUCUUGCAGGGGUGGCAGCUAUGGCUUCCACGGCGCAGCUAGGAUUUCAAUUUGGGAGAAGAUGAGAAGAGAGGGAGAGGAGAGAGAGUUUGCCAUUAUUGUUGUUUUGGGAAAAGGAAAGAGACAUAUCACUGCCUUUUGGGUAAAAGGAAU
rnacentral:lncRNA from 1 species